rnacentral:rRNA from 1 species
AGAGUUUGAUCAUGGCUCAGAACGAACGCUGGCGGCAGGCUUAACACAUGCAAGUCGAACGCGUGUAGCAAUACACGAGUGGCGCACGGGUGAGUAAUACUUGGGAACGUGCCCUUCAGUCCGGAAUAACAGCGGGAAACUGCUGCUAAAACUGGAUACACCCUCCGGGGGAAAGUUUACGCUGAAGGAUCGGCCCAAGCCAGAUUAGGUAGUUGGUGGGGUAAAAGCCUACCAAGCCUACGAUCUGUAGCUGGUCUGAGAGGACGACCAGCCACACUGGAACUGAGACACGGUCCAGACUCCUACGGGAGGCAGCAGUGGGGAAUAUUGGACAAUGGGCGAAAGCCUGAUCCAGCCAUGCCGCGUGAGUGAUGAAGGCCUUAGGGUUGUAAAGCUCUUUUGUCAGGGAAGAUGAUGACGGUACCUGAAGAAUAAGCACCGGCUAACUUCGUGCCAGCAGCCGCGGUAAUACGAAGGGUGCUAGCGUUGUUCGGAAUUACUGGGCGUAAAGCGCGCGUAGGCGGCUUUUCAAGUCAGGGGUGAAAUCCCACAGCUUAACUGUGGAACUGCCUUUGAAACUGUAAAGCUUGAGUGUCGGAGGGGAUAGCGGAAUUGCUAAUGUAGAGGUGAAAUUCGUAGAUAUUAGCAGGAACACCGGUGGCGAAGGCGGCUAUCUGGACGACAACUGACGCUGAGGCGCGAAAGCGUGGGGAUCAAACAGGAUUAGAUACCCUAGUAGUCC